UACGUAGGGUGCGAGCGUUAAUCGGAAUUACUGGGCGUAAAGCGUGCGCAGGCGGUUAUGUAAGACAGUUGUGAAAUCCCCCGGGCUCAACCUGGGAACUGCAUCUGUGACUGCAUAGCUAGAGUACGGUAGAGGGGGAUGGAAUUCCGCGUGUAGCAGUGAAAUGCGUAGAUAUGCGGAGGAACACCGAUGGCGAAGGCAAUCCCCCUGGACCUGUACUGACGCUCAUGCACGAAAGCGUGGGGAGCAAACAGG
rnacentral:rRNA from 1 species